rnacentral:tRNA from 1 species
GUCCCCAUCGUCUAGCCAGGCCUAGGACUCCACCCUUUCAAGGUGGCAACGCGGGUUCGAAUCCCGCUGGGGACGCCA